rnacentral:tRNA from 1 species
GCGAGAAUGGCGAAAUUGGUAGACGCUUUGGAUUUAGAAUCCAAUGGGUAUUCCCGUGAGAGUUCAAGUCUCUCUUUUCGCA